UACGUAGGGUGCAAGCGUUACUCGGAAUUACUGGGCGUAAAGCGUGCGCAGGCGGUGCUGUAAGACAGAUGUGAAAUCCCCGGGCUCAACCUGGGAACUGCAGUUAGAACUGGCAAGCUAGAGUAGGGUAGAGGGGUGUGGAAUUCCAGGUGUAGCGGUGAAAUGCGUAGAUAUCUGGAGGAACAUCAGUGGCGAAGGCGACACCCUGGACUCAUACUGACACUGAGGUGCGAAAGCGCGGGGAGCAAACAGG
rnacentral:rRNA from 1 species